GGAGCGGUCCUCUGCUGGGCCGUGUGGGCCAGGGGCAUGUCAGGAAGGAGCUGGUCGCUGGGCUGAGAGCGGUCCCUGCAGGCUGAGCCCAGAGCACGAGUUUGGAGACUGACAUGGGGCUCCUCUUAGACACCCCAUAGAUGUUGGAGGUGACGAGUUUAGGGAAAGUAAUUAGGUGAAAAUAUCCACAACCAGAAAGAUGGUUGGCAACCAUUGCAGGAUCCUGCCAGUAGUGUGUAGGAAUAUAAAUCUACAAGACAUCGUUUUCUUUUAUCUUUGUUUGUUUACUUUCUUUAAAAUUGUUUUCAUUGGUAUUUAUUUGUGAUACAUACUUAAGUAUUUGGGGCACUCAAUCUGAAGCAGCACAGAGAAAAUGAGAGAGAUUAGGAGACAAAGGAGAAGGCCUUUAUUGAAGGCAUGGGCAAGCUUCACAGGGCAGGGAUACAGAGGCUCUAGGUGAGAAGGAAGACGUGGCACUACUGUAUUCAGUUCCGGCUGGGGAGGAGUUUGGGAGGUGGACAGCACGACAUAUUAACCACUGAUUUGAAGGCGUAUCUGUCUGUGCAAAACAGGAGACAGAAAGAUUUAGUGGGGGCUGGAGGUGGAGGCUUGGGUAUUGUGGAGUCUUGGGGUUGCAGAGGGCUUGGAGCACGUGCAGAAAGGGAGCGGGAGGUUUAUCUCUGGAAUGAGAACAUAGUAGUCUUGAAGAGAUAAAUUGUUUCUCUGGGUUCCGUUCCAAGUUGGGAGGAUAUAGCUAAGCCCCAGACUGGCAGGACCUAUCAAUAAUGAAUGCGUUCAUUAUGGAGAUUUGGUACAUAUAGUUACUACAUUUUAAUCCUUUUCUUUCUCCUUCUUUCCCUUCCCUUUUCUCCCCUUCCGUCCCUGGGUCACCUUUCCAUCUGCCUAUCCCCUAUUUUUUUAUUUUGCCUUUUAAUUUGUUUAUACUUAGUUUUUCAUGUAAGAGAAACUAUGUGAUACUUAACCUGCUGGGUCUCAUUUGUUUCACUUAACAUUAUGAACUCAAAGUGCAUCCAUUUUCCUACUAAUGACAAAAUGUAUUGUUCAUGGCUGUCUUGGUUACUUUCUCUCAUUGUUGAGACAAAAUAGCUGAUGCCCAAAAUGAAGAAAAGAAAGGUUUGUUGGAGGUUUCAGACCAUACUCAGCUGGCUCCAAGGCAGUGUGGUGUGGCUAAGGGGCAGCCAAUCACAGUGGCAGCAGAAUAAAAGGGACAAAAAGAGGAUAGGCCCGCCUUCUUCUCUUCCUUAUAUUGUGUGCUGGCUGGGUCCCUGGGUGGGUGGAGCCUCACAUCACCAAUCCCAGCACUAGACAAAGAACCAAUCACAAUCACUAGAUUCUGCCACCUGCAUCACUGCAUGAGGGGCAUCCACCUAGACACAAACCAUAACAAUGGCCCAGUACAACUCUGUUGUGUAUAUUGUGAGCACUGCUAUAGCAAUGGGUGCUCAGGUAUCACUGUAAUAUGAUAUCUGUAAUUCCUUUUGGGAAAAUACCCAGAAGGUGCGUGGCUGGGUUAAAUGGAAUUUCUUUUUUGAGGGGUUUUGUUUUUGUUUUUUGUAAUUUUUAUUUUAAAGAGAGUAAAACGAAGCAAUGCAAAACAGAAUAAAGCCAAUCAAAACUACAACAACAAAAAAACCUGUGACACAAGACUUCAAAAUAAGAUAACAGGAAAUCAACAAUGGUUACUAUAAUGCCUCCUAUUGUCUUCAAAAUAGCUGCCCAUACCCUCAGACAUAGCAAAAUUCAAACAAAACAGAACAGAAUAAAACCAAUAAAAAUAAAACAACGAAUGCAAUACAGGACUUCAAAACAAGACAGUAGUAAAUCCAAAAUGGCUACCAUAAUAUAUCUAGUUAUCUUUGAAAUAGCUGCCCAUGCCACUGGAUAUAGCAAAAUCAAACAAGACGAAACAGUAAAAUCCAACCCAACAAAACAAUGAAAAUGAAUCAGGACUUCAAAACAAGAAAAUAGGAAAUCGACAAUGAAUACCACCUCCAGAAGGAGAUGCCUCAUAGAUGCUACAUUGGGUACUGUUAUCCUGAGGCCUGCAAAGUCAGUGAAACACCAAACACUGUAAGCGUGAAGCUGUAUCAAAGCUAUCAUUGCAGGCUGUGUUUCUCGAGAUCAGCCAGUCGCUUAAGGGAGGCGGGACACUGGCCUUGACCCUUCUUGUCUCCCAACUCAUGCGCCAAGAGUCUGCCAUCUGAUUCUCUCCCCAGUGGCCUGCGCAUGGCACUGACUUGCAGGAAGGGCUUGUCUUUUGAGGUUUUUGAGUAAAUCUCUGUACUAAUUUACGUAGUGGUCUUACCAGUUUAUGUUCCCACCAACAACGGAGGAUUCCUUUUCCCCACAGCCUCUCCAGCACUUGCUUUUUGAGUUCUUGAUAAUAUCCAUUCUUUAUGGAGUAAAAGGGAAAGUCAGGGUUGUUUUGAUUUGCGUUUCUCUAGUAAUAAAAGAUACCGAAUAUCUUUUCAUGUGUACACUGGUCAUUCACGGUUCUGAGAAAUGUAUAUUCAUUUCCAUUUCUGAUUUUGGAAAAGUAUUUUAUUUACUGAGGCUAAUUUUUUAUUUCUUUAUAUAUUCUAGGUUUUAGUCAUCUAGUGAGUAGCUGGAAAAUGUCUUUCCCAUUCUAUAGGUUGUCUCUUCACUUACUGGAUGUUUGCUUUGCUUUGUGGAAGGUUUUUAAUUUUAUAUAAUAUUAUUAGUCCCACCAUUUGCAAUUUCUUGUGGAAUUGGGAUUUCUGUUCAGAAAGUCCUUGCCCAUGUUUAUGUCUUCAAGAGUUUAACCUAUUUUGUCUUCCAGUUUAGUCAGUGCUUCUAUUUUAAUACCUAGGGUUUUAUCCCUCUUGAUUUGAUUUUAUUACAGCAUGAAAUAUAUGGAUCUAAAUUCAUUCUUCUGCAUACAGAUGCCCAGUUUUCCAAGCAUCAUUUGCCUGAAAAGGCCAUCUUGUCUACUACAUACAUUUUGCACCCCUUUAUAAAAGAUCACAUGGCUGCAUGUGCCUGGGUUGUUUCUGCACCCUCUCUUCUGUGAUCCACAUUCUGUUUUGGGUCCAGUAUCAUCCUAUUUAUAUGGCUAUAGAUGUGUAAUAUAAUUUGAAAUCCAGGAUUGUGAUGCUUCCUGCUUUGCUCUUGUUACCCAGGAUUGCUUUGGCUGUUCUAGAUCUCAACUGAUUCCAUAUAAAUUUUAGGAUUGUUUUUAGUUCUGUGAAGAAUGCCUUUGGCAUUUGAUUCAAAUUGCAUUAAAUCGAGAUGUCAUUUUUGGUAAUUUGGCCAUUUUGACAUUACUGGUCCUGCCUAUCCAGGAACAGGAGAUGUCCGUACAUUUUCUGGAGUGCUGUUUCAUCUCCUUUUUUUGGGUACUAUAGUUUUAAUUUAGAGAUCUUUUACUUCCUUGGUUAGGUUAGUUCAUGUGUAUUUCAUUUUUUGAAGCUACUAUGAAUGAGAUUAUUUACCAAAUUUCUCUCUUAAUAGUUUCCUUGUUGGUAUAUGAGAAAACUAUUGAUUUUUUGUGUGUAUUUAUUUUGUGUCCUGGUUCUUUAUUGAUUUUGUUAUAGAAAACUUUAAAUGUAAUUUUUGGGUCUUCCAUAUGAAGGAUCAUGUAAUCUGUGAUUAAGGAGACAGCACCUCCUAGUACCCUGGGAAAAGAAACACCCCUGGGAAAACAGUAGUCCAACAGAGGCAUGGUGGAUCUUCUCACAGACAGGAGAGACAGGCUGGAGGGAGCAUGGCCUGGGUGGGACAAGGUCAUUUAAAAAGAUGGAGCCAGAAGAGCACAAAGCACUGACUCCUAGUAACAGGGACAUUUGAGCUCCUCCUAUCUUGUGUGUAUCCCUUUUAUUUCUUUCUUCUGCCUGAUUGUUCUGGCUAAAGUGUAAAGUGCUAGAGUGAAAGGAGUGGUGAUAGUGUACACUAUUGUCUUGUUUUUUAGUUUAGAGAGAAAGCUUUCAAUUUUUCUUCAUUUGAUGAUUUUGGCAGUGGGUUUGUCAUAAAUGACCUUCAUCAGUCUGAGAAAGAGUUUUUAUAUACCUGUUUUUUUUUUUAUCAUGAUUGGAUGUUGGAUUUUGUCAAAGCCUUUUCUGGCAGCUAUUGAUAGGAAAUUUUGACUUCUAUCCUUGCUUCCGUUUAUGUGGUUUACUGGUUUAAUUUUGAUUGCCAUAUGUUCAAUCAACCUUGUAUUCCCGAGGCAAAACCAUCUGAUGAUGUGUGAUCUUUUUAAUUUGUGGCAGACUGUUUCCACAUACCUGGUUAAGGUAUUUUGCAGCUAUGUUCAUGUCCUGGUUACUUUUCUCUCAUUGCUGAGACAAAAUACCUAACACCCAAAAUUAAGGAGGGUAGGAUUUAUUUAGCUCACGGUUUGUGGAGGUUUCAGUCUGUAAUCAGCUGGCUCCAAGGCAGAGUUGCAUGGCACAGGGGCAACACUUCAAGGUGGCAGAAGAAGCAAAAGCAACAAAAGUAACAAGGGAGGGAGGAGAGAAAGCCUCUUUUCCUCUCUUAUAUGGUAAGCAUGAUACCCUACCCGCUCCCUGGUGAGUGUAACACUCACACCAUCUCCUGUCCUCCUCUUGCACAGGCUCAGGAUGUUUAUGAAGGGAGGACCUUGACUUGCUGAAUCACUUAGUUAAACUUCUGAACUUCUGGAGUUGACACAAUGAACAACAUGCUACAGUGGCCUCUUCUCUCUCCAGAUGAAUUUGAGGAGUGAUUUCUCGAAAUCUAUGAGCUACUGAGUCUCUCGCACCAUGUUACCCCUAGCCACUGGGCCUGCAGAACCAAUGGCCAUCCUCCGCCUGUUCAGAACUCUGCGGUUCCAGAUAAACUAGGCCACAGGGACACUGUGUGCCCACCUGCCCGUUGGAAGCUCCACAGCUCUCCAAGCGCAGCCAGGAUGUGGUAGGCGGAUAUACACGCGUCAAACCCACCUCUCCACUUCACUGCACCUGGAAGCCUGGAGGUACCCGAACAGUCUGGGCUUUGGGCAGAGUGCGUUGAGCACUCACCACAGGCUGCAGGGCCUCUGGAACCUGCGAUGCUCCACUGCCCGCUGAGACAUCCACAGUCUUCCAGACACACAGGGAGUCUGAUGCAGGUGCCCCAGAUCUGCCCAGCCCCUCCUCUGCACACCGAUGGUGAGGUUCGGGAGUCUCAAACAGGCUGGGCUCCAGGGAUAGCGUGGGUCCGCCCACCUGUUGGAAGCUCAGCAGUUCUCUAAGUGCAGCCGGGAUGGGGAGGUGGAUGUAGAGGCCUCAAACGCACUUCUCCACUUCACUGCACCCAGAAUUCUGGAGGGUCCUGAACAGUCUGGGAUUUGGGCAGAGUGCGCUGAGCACUCACCACAGGCCGCGGUGCCUGUGGAACCUGCGAUCCUCCCCUGCUUGCUGAGAUAUCCACAGUCCUCCAGACACACAGGGAGGCUGAUUCAGGUGCCCCAGAUCCGCCCAGCCCCUCCUCUAAAGAAGUCUUUCAAGAGACAGCAACAAGAUGAUCUACUUCGUUUUUAUACUUAACCCUAUUACCAGGAAGUUGUGAAUGAGAAUGGAUAUAAGUUGUAAAAAUAGGAAAAUCUGUUAUGAAUACCAAUUUAUAGUUGACAGAACAAUUGAUCAGGUCAUUAGCAUUAUACAAAGUGGCUAUUUUGGUUGACUGUGAACCAAACAGAUUAGGAGACUGUAACAAUAUUAAUCAAUUCUAGAACAUACAAUAAAAGUUAUGCUCUUUGUACAGAAUGGAAGAGAGUUUGCCACACCUUAGAAACCCUUCCCCCAUAUCUAGCUUUUCCAUUGCUGCUACCAUUAGUGAAAUAUGUGUCUGCUUCAUCUCUAGGUUCAUAACAUACAUAACAAUUUUAGGUAAAAUCCAAGGAUGCCACUUAAGAAAUUGUAAAAACUUAGAGUUAGGAAAAUGAUUGUCUAUUUUUCCUAUAUAGUCAGCAAGACAUUUACCAUUGUUCACUUAUUGAUAAAGCAUGUUCUAUCUCCUGUCUUGUUAGGGCAAAAAUAAUAGAUAUGAGGUCUUUUCCUGAUAAGUGCCAUGAGCAACAGUGUCCCUUAUACAGAAAGCCUAUUUUAUACUUGUACAUAGUGAGCCUCUUUUGUUCACUGUAGGAAGAAGAAUCCAUUCUACCACAGCUUCUUCUUGUGAUGAUUUAGCUGUAGAUGAAUGUGUUGAUGGAAAGACUAAAAGUAUUACUGGUUUAGAUCUUGACUUCCUGCUCUUGAUUUUCCUGCCUUAUGCUCCUUUCUCAUAUAGUUAAUCUUUCCACAUCCAAAACAUUUAGUAGUUUUUGGGGCAAAUAGAUCAGUCUCUUUUAAUGUGGCUGCUAGCAAUCUGGCCUUAAAAGUUUCUGACCCUAUGUCCUGACAGGCUUUGAUAUAUUCAUCUAAAGUGGCUCCCUAAGAUUUUCAAAGUCAUAAUACCCAUUUACAUUCUGAAUUAACAUUGUCAAAAGAUAACAUUUGCAAAAAAAGUCCCUCAAAUCCAGCUGAGACACUGUGUUUUGAAAAACUUCUGUUAAUCUAGCUAUAAAUUCUACUUAAGGUUCAUUGGCACUUUGGACUACUUUGACCACUGAUGGAGCCACUUGUCCAGGGAGAGCAAUCUCUUCCCAUGCUUUUAAACAGCACAUUCUUGCCUGAACAAUAGCAGUAUCAUUAUAUUGUAGCUGUUGAUUUAUUCCAAACCAGUCUCCAGACCCAGUGAGUUGGUUGGCAGAGGGAGAGAUUGAAGGGUCAGCAUGUUCUUUGCGUCAGGCAGUCAAUUCUGCUUUAUCUCUCCACCAAGUUUUAAACUGAAAGAAUUCAAUGGAGCUGAGAACCCAGUCCCAUGGAAUCAAAUGUUCAGAUUAAGCCAAUCCCAAAAUCACAGCUUUAGUUAAGGAAAAUUUACUCCAUAAGAUAUAAAAGUUUGUUUUAUUUUCUUAACUUUCUUUAAAGGUAGUGGGGCCAGGGAUUUAGCUCAGCAGUAUAAGUACCUGCCUGGUAAGCACAAGGUCAUGAGUUCAAUUCCCAGUACCAAAAAAUAAAAUUAAAUUUAAAAGUUACUACUAUAACUUUUAUAGUGGGUUACAACCAUAUUUAAUGUAACCUUGAGGAUUUUGCUGAUCUCCUGGCAAUUAGAUGAUAGUAACUGGACACAUAGCAAAAGGUUGACAAGCACAAAUCACCCUCCUGUUUUGCUUGAACAAAAACCUUAACCACAGUGGUCAUCAGUGUUGGUGUUGCAACAGUUAUUUGAGAUAGAUCAAGAAAAGGUUAGAUUUAUCAUAUACUGGAGCUAACGGUGCCACAGAAUACUCCUGGGACCUAAGAAGCAGCAUGGAAGGAAAGUCAGAUUGUACUGGUUUAUCAAUAUGCCAUGGUAAGGAAGGUUUUAGUGUAACAGAAGUGUUUCCAGAAGAUCCAUACCUCCUCUGUAAUUUGUCCCUGAUUCUGAAGCAGUAGUCCCCUCACAAGAACAAUCAUCUGAUUCAGAGUCAGAACUGUCCCUGCCUUUCUCAUUUUCCCCAUUAGACAAAAUUUUCUGUUCAAAUUCAGACUAUAUGAGUUCUAAAGCCAAAGUUAUUAAAUUACAUAAAGACCAAACAUGUAAAGGAAUAGAAUUCCCUUGCUGAUAAGUACAUUUCAAAGCUUUCAUUACCAAUCUCAACAGCUUUAAGUAUAAAACAUUAUGUCCCUUGGGUUCAAAUCAAUAACAAUAUUUCCAUAUCAAGGUGAAUAAUUUGGUGAAAGACUGUGGUUUCACUUUAACCCCCAGGCUCUUCAACAAAGUUUUAAGUAUCUGAGCUCAUUCUUGUUGCGACAGGGAAUUUCCCAUGGCAACCCUGAUGCAAAAUUCCUGGAGACUGGCCUUACUUAUCCAUCUGAUGCUUCCUUGUCCGCUAAACAUUAAAAUCCCUUCUUGAUAUCUCGAAGUCUCCUUUCAUUGUCAGGUCCCUGUUCAGGCACCAAAAUGUUGGUUUCUGUGAAAAUGACAGGUCUCCAUGAUGAGGUGUAGCAGAUUAAAAGAAAGACAAAAGAAACAAAAGUCUGGGAUCUGGGCUGGGGGCUUGGGAUUUAUCUCAGUGGUGUAAGUGCUUGCCUGGAAAGCACGAGGUUGUGAGUUUGAUUCCUGGUACCAAAAAAAAAAAAAAAAAAAAAAAAAAAAAAAGGUGUGGAA